rnacentral:rRNA from 1 species
UACGGGGGGGGCAAGCGUUGUUCGGAAUUACUGGGCGUAAAGGGCGCGUAGGCGGUUGGGUAAGUCAGCUGUGAAAACCACGGGCUUAACUCGUGGCCUGCAGUUGAGACUGUCUGGCUUGAGUGUGGGAGAGGAGAGUGGAAUUCCUGGUGUAGCGGUGAAAUGCGUAGAUAUCAGGAGGAACACCGGUGGCGAAGGCGGCUCUCUGGACCACAACUGACGCUGAGGCGCGAAAGCUAGGGGAGCAAACAGG